rnacentral:rRNA from 1 species
GACGAACGCUGGCGGCGUGCCUAACACAUGCAAGUUGAGCGACGAACCAGGGCUUGCCCUGGGGCAAAGCAGCGAACGGGUGAGUAACACGUGGGUAACCUACCCCGAUAACCGGGACAACCCGAGGAAACUCGGGCUAAUACCGGAUGUGCUCACUGGACUUCGGUUCAGUGCGUAAAGGAAGCUUCGGCCUCCGUAUCGGGAGGGGCCCGCGGCCCAUUAGUUUGUUGGUGAGGUAACGGCUCACCAAGACCGCGAUGGGUAGCUGGUCUGAGAGGACGAUCAGCCACACUGGGACUGAGACACGGCCCAGACUCCUACGGGAGGCAGCAGUGGGGAAUCUUGCGCAAUGCGCGAAAGCGUGACGCAGCAACGCCGCGUGGGGGAAGAAGGCCUUCGGGUUGUAAACCCCUUUCAGGAGGGACGAAGGUUCGGCGGUGAAUAGCCGUCCGGACUGACGGUACCUCCACAAGAAGCCGCGGCUAACUACGUG